AUGUGCCUAGUACUUACGCGUGACAAUUAGGUUUUCAUGCUCUUGUGUGAGAUGUGCCUCCCUCUAAACCUUGUUAUGACAUGGGCAUAUUACCCAUCUGACA